UACAGAGGGUGCGAGCGUUAAUCGGAAUUACUGGGCGUAAAGCGUGCGUAGACGGUUAUUUAAGUCGGGUGUGAAAGCCCCGGGCUCAACCUGGGAAUUGCAUUCGAGACUGAAUAGCUAGGGUACGGUAGAGGGAAGUGGAAUUUCCGGUGUAGCGGUGAAAUGCGUAGAUAUCGGAAGGAACAUCAGUGGCGAAGGCGAGUCUCUGGACGACUCCUGACACUGAGGCACGAAAGCCAGGGGAGCAAACAGG
rnacentral:rRNA from 1 species